rnacentral:rRNA from 1 species
GAUGAACGCUGGCGGCGUGCCUAAUACAUGCAAGUCGAGCGAACAGACGAGGAGCUUGCUCCUCUGACGUUAGCGGCGGACGGGUGAGUAACACGUGGAUAACCUACCUAUAAGACUGGGAUAACUUCGGGAAACCGGAGCUAAUACCGGAUAAUAUAUUGAACCGCAUGGUUCAAUAGUGAAAGACGGUUUUGCUGUCACUUAUAGAUGGAUCCGCGCCGCAUUAGCUAGUUGGUAAGGUAACGGCUUACCAAGGCAACGAUGCGUAGCCGACCUGAGAGGGUGGUCGGCCACACUGGAACUGAGACACGGUCCAGACUCCUACGGGAGGCAGCCGUAGGGAAUCUUCCGCAAUGGGCGAAAGCCUGACGGAGCAACGCCGCGUGAGUGAUGAAGGUCUUCGGAUCGUAAAACUCUGUUAUUAGGGAAGAACAAAUGUGUAAGUAACUAUGCACGUCUUGACGGUACCUAAACAGAAAGCCACGGCUAACUACGUG